rnacentral:rRNA from 1 species
UACGUAGGGGCCUAGCGUUGUCCGGAUUUAUUGGGCGUAAAGAGCUCGUAGGCGGUUCGGCAAGUCGGAUGUGAAAUCUCCACGCUUAACGUGGAGGGGCCAUUCGAAACUGCCGUGACUCGAGUCCGGUAGGGGAGUGUGGAAUUCCCGGUGUAGCGGUGAAAUGCGCAGAUAUCAGGAGGAACACCAAUUGCGAAGGCAGCUCGCUGGGACGUUACUGACGCUGAGACGCGAAAGCGUGGGGAGCAAACAGG